AUUGAACGCUGGCGGCAGGCCUAACACAUGCAAGUCGAGCGGAUGAGUGGAGCUUGCUCCAUGAUUCAGCGGCGGACGGGUGAGUAAUGCCUAGGAAUCUGCCUGGUAGUGGGGGACAACGUUUCGAAAGGAACGCUAAUACCGCAUACGUCCUACGGGAGAAAGUGGGGGAUCUUCGGACCUCACGCUAUCAGAUGAGCCUAGGUCGGAUAAGCUAGUUGGUGAGGUAAAGGCUCACCAAGGCGACGAUCCGUAACUGGUCUGAGAGGAUGAUCAGUCACACUGGAACUGAGACACGGUCCAGACUCCUACGUGAGGCAGCAGUGGGGAAUAUUGGACAAUGGGCGAAAGCCUGAUCCAGCCAUGCCGCGUGUGUGAAGAAGGUCUUCGGAUUGUAAAGCACUUUAAGUUGGGAGGAAGGGCAGUAAGUUAAUACCUUGCUGUUUUGACGUUACCAACAGAAUAAGCACCGGCUAACUUCGUGCCAGCAGCCGCGGUAAAAC
rnacentral:rRNA from 1 species